GGAUUAGAUACCCUGGUAGUCCACGCCGUAAACGAUGGAUACUAGCUGUUGGGAGCAAUCUCAGUGGCUAAGCGAAAGUGAUAAGUAUCCCACCUGGGGAGUACGAACGCAAGUUUGAAACUCAAAGGAAUUGACGGGGGCCCGCACAAGCGGUGGAGCAUGUGGUUUAAUUCGAUGAUACGCGAGGAACCUUACCAAGGCUUAAAUGUAGAUUGACCGGUUUGGAAACAGACUUUUCGCAAGACAAUUUACAAGGUGCUGCAUGGUUGUCGUCAGCUCGUGCC
rnacentral:rRNA from 1 species